rnacentral:rRNA from 1 species
CAGGCUUAACACAUGCAAGUCGAGGGGCAGCAUGGUCUUAGCUUGCUAAGGCCGAUGGCGACCGGCGCACGGGUGAGUAACACGUAUCCAACCUGCCGUCUACUCUUGGACAGCCUUCUGAAAGGAAGAUUAAUACAAGAUGGCAUCAUGAGUCCGCAUGUUCACAUGAUUAAAGGUAUUCCGGUAGACGAUGGGGAUGCGUUCCAUUAGAUAGUAGGCGGGGUAACGGCCCACCUAGUCUUCGAUGGAUAGGGGUUCUGAGAGGAAGGUCCCCCACAUUGGAACUGAGACACGGUCCAAACUCCUACGGGAGGCAGCAGUGAGGAAUAUUGGUCAAUGGGCGAGAGCCUGAACCAGCCAAGUAGCGUGAAGGAUGACUGCCCUAUGGGUUGUAAACUUCUUUUAUAAAGGAAUAAAGUCGGGUAUGCAUACCCGUUUGCAUGUACUUUAUGAAUAAGGAUCGGCUAACUCCGUGCCAGCAGCCGCGGUAAUACGGAGGAUCCGAGCGUUAUCCGGAUUUAUUGGGUUUAAAGGGAGCGUAGAUGGAUGUUUAAGUCAGUUGUGAAAGUUUGCGGCUCAACCGUAAAAUUGCAGUUGAUACUGGAUAUCUUGAGUGCAGUUGAGGCAGGCGGAAUUCGUGGUGUAGCGGUGAAAUGCUUAGAUAUCACGAAGAACUCCGAUUGCGAAGGCAGCCUGCUAAGCUGCAACUGACAUUGAGGCUCGAAAGUGUGGGUAUCAAACAGGAUUAGAUACCCUGGUAGUCCACACGGUAAACGAUGAAUACUCGCUGUUUGCGAUAUACGGCAAGCGGCCAAGCGAAAGCGUUAAGUAUUCCACCUGGGGAGUACGCCGGCAACGGUGAAACUCAAAGGAAUUGACGGGGGCCCGCACAAGCGGAGGAACAUGUGGUUUAAUUCGAUGAUACGCGAGGAACCUUACCCGGGCUUAAAUUGCAGAUGAAUUACGGUGAAAGCCGUAAGCCGCAAGGCAUCUGUGAAGGUGCUGCAUGGUUGUCGUCAGCUCGUGCCGUGAGGUGUCGGCUUAAGUGCCAUAACGAGCGCAACCCUUGUUGUCAGUUACUAACAGGUUCCGCUGAGGACUCUGACAAGACUGCCAUCGUAAGAUGUGAGGAAGGUGGGGAUGACGUCAAAUCAGCACGGCCCUUACGUCCGGGGCUACACACGUGUUACAAUGGGGGGUACAGAGGGCCGCUACCACGCGAGUGGAUGCCAAUCCCAAAAACCUCUCUCAGUUCGGACUGGAGUCUGCAACCCGACUCCACGAAGCUGGAUUCGCUAGUAAUCGCGCAUCAGCCACGGCGCGGUGAAUACGUUCCCGGGCCUUGUACACACCGCCCGUCAAGCCAUGGGAGCCGGGGGUACCUGAAGUGCGUAACCGCGAGGAGCGCCCUAGGGUAAAACUGGUGACUGGGGCUAAGUCAUAACAA